rnacentral:rRNA from 1 species
GACGAACGCUGGCGGCGUGCUUAACACAUGCAAGUCGAACGGAAAGGCCCUGCUUUUGUGGGGUGCUCGAGUGGCGAACGGGUGAGUAACACGUGAGUAACCUGCCCUUGACUUUGGGAUAACUUCAGGAAACUGGGGCUAAUACCGGAUAGGAGCUCCUGCUGCAUGGUGGGGGUUGGAAAGUUUCGGCGGUUGGGGAUGGACUCGCGGCUUAUCAGCUUGUUGGUGGGGUAGUGGCUUACCAAGGCUUUGACGGGUAGCCGGCCUGAGAGGGUGACCGGGCACAUUGGGACUGAGAUACGGGCCAGACUCCUACGGGAGGCAAGAGUGGGGAAUAUUGCACAAUGGGCGGAAGCCUGAUGCAGCAACGCCGGGUGCGGGAUGACGGCCUUCGGGUUGUAAACCGCUUUCGCCUGUGACGAAGCGUGAGUGACGGUAAUGGGUAAAGAAGCACCGGCUAACUACGUG